rnacentral:lncRNA from 1 species
UUUUCUACAAGAAAAUUAAACCUGAUCAUGUAUUACUUGUCUUUGGUGGCCUAUUAUGUCUUUUUUAAUGCAUGGAAAGUUCUUUAUUUUCUCUCUCUACUAGUUUUGGCUUCAUUUCACAUGUUUGUGCUGUCAAGAAGAAUGGGAAAUUUUCAAGAAUUAGCAGCUUUUGCUUGUGAGGAAAAGAUCUGGAAUAAUUUGUUCUGCCUGCAGUUUGAAGUGAACCCAGCAGCUGCAAAUACUUCAUUUUAUGAGGUUCCGCUGCUUGUUUCAAGGUUUAUUUGACGAUCCUUUUUGCUUUUUGCUUCAUCUAAUUUUCUUCUCCUAGACUUUUUUUUGGUAAAAGAAAAAGAAAAAGAAAGAGAAGACAAAUUGUGUAAUGAUGACAUAUAUGAGUGAAGUGAAGCAAAAGCUUAGUUCAUUGAUUCUCCUUAUUGGUUCAUGCAGUUCUCUGUGUGUGUGUGUGUGUGUGUAUACAUUCGACAAAUUAAUCGCAAAUUGAGAUGGUCAUAGUAUUCCAAGCAGCUUUUUUUUUUCUUUUAUUGGUGAUGACAUGAAAAUUAAAUAUUUUUACAUCUGUUGAAAUAGUUUUUGGAUAAGUAUGUAAACUUUCAUCAGCUCUAUAAAAAAAUCUUGGAUUCGCAUUGCCAUGCGGCAAAUAUAUAUCUUGUGAUGGUGUAACGCUUGUAGUCAUUUUGCAUUGUCAGCAGGAAGUAGAUUUCUUUCAAAGUUAUGGCCAUUAUCAUUUUCUCAUAAUUGAACGAACAGUAUAAUCCUUCGUAAUCAACCAAUUAACUCUUUGACUCUUUGGCUUUGGCUCCUUCAUGAAUGUGGAUGCUAUCCCAACUCUCAACUACCAAUCUCCAAUUCUCUUUUAUUAAAUAAAAUUGUACACAUGCUCCUAUAUUUUAUAUAUAUAUAUAUAUGUGUGUGUGUGUGUGUGUGGGCACCCUCAUUUUUUUUUUUAAAACAGACAUAUUGUUAAGCUAUACGACUUAAUAGAGUUAAUUUUCAAUAUAUAUACUAUAAAGUCGAGCUAUUUUGAUAGGCUUAAAAACUGACUUUAGUAAACUUCACGACUUAAAAUUAUGUUCUCAUAAAAAAAAUGAGGACGCACGCACUAAAGAAGAACUAUAUAUAUUUGAUAUAUGUAUAUAUGUAUAUAUGUAUAUGUAUAUGUAUAUGAGAUAAGUUCAAGAGACAUAAUUUUUUACAUAAUUUUAAACACAAUUUUUAGACUAUUAAAUUACAGAAUAAUGAAUGGUUAAGAUUUGUUAUAAGGGAAGACUUUUAACUCAGUUAAUUUCUUUUCUCCCUUUUAUUAAUUACUAAAUAUUUAAUUAUUAUUUUCUCCCUCUAUCUCUUUUUUUAAACUACUUCUUCCCUCAUAGUAAAAUUUACUUUCUAAAUAAUUUUGUAUUCUUUUAAUCUUGUAAUUGCUUAAUAGUGUUUAGGAUAAAACAAAUAACCCUAAUAAGAAACACGUCCACCAAAAUUUUCAUCAACACACAUUAAAAAUUGAUCUAAAAGUGAAAAGUUUCAGUUUUUGUGAAGCCUACAAAGUAAUCAUAAACUAAAUUAAGCACUCGUAGAGCCUCGAAAUUCUACAUGAUUACAAAUUGGACUAUGUUCAAAUCGAACUUUAAGAGUCAUUCAUAUGAAUUCAUAUUUAUUUUCAAUAAUAUUUGACUUUCUUUUGUCAAUUUCAACAAAAUUAAUGUUAAACAUAUCUUGAGUAGCUAUCUUUAAUUUUGAGGAAAGAAGAAGAGAAGAUGAGAACAGGAAAAAAAGAAGCAGAUGAAGACGAUGACCAGAGAAAAAAUAUAUAUUUUAUGGUGGAUAUUAAAAAAAAAAAAACACUACGGUCAUGAUAACAAGCUCAUGAUAACAAUCCAAAGCACAUGAUUUUAUGGUGCAACAAUUAUCUAAAAUGACUUCGGUCACCAGUAUCAAUUUGUGCACGUUUUCCCGCUCAAGCCAACCCAAUUUACGCAGCUAUAUAAUAACUCAACAAGAAAGCAUGACAAUUCAAUUAAAAGUUGAAGCGUUCAAUUAAAUAUAAAACCUAAAACUUUCGGGAGUUAAAUGAAAGACUUGCCCUACUAAGGAAAGUGAAUAAACUUAUUGCCAAAGAAUGAAAGCUCUCUUACCUCAUAACUAAGCUUCUGUUUGGGAUUGAAGUGCUGUAGAUUUUAAGUGAUAGUUGUUGUAGAAAAAAAAAAAAACUAUAGUUAUAAAACAAAAGUUAAUAAUAGUAAACAUAAAUUUUAAAUAAUAAUUUUGAUAAAAUUAUUAAACAUAUAAUAAAUUUUCUAUUAUACAAGUGAAAAAUCAACAUAACUCACGCUUUAGUGCUGUAGUUUAAAAGUUACAGCUGUCUAACUUUAAUCACAAACGCACCCUAACUACAAUAUACAAUAAAAUUUGUGCACAUAAGAACAUCACCUCCUUAAAUUCAUUGCUCCAAUUUUAAUUUUUUUUUUAAAAGACAGAAAAGACUUGACCCACAUUAUUUGUUGCAUCAAUCAAAUUAAUAAGUAAAUUACGUACACAAUUUUGGCUCUGCUAGAAAUACAGAUAUAUAACUGCACUCCUUGCUCAGGUUUUUUCCAUUACUCUCUCCUUUUUCUACAAAAAAAUAAAACCUGAUCAUGUAUUACUUGUCUUUGGUGGCCUAUUAUGCCUUUUUUAAUGCACGAAAAGUUCUUCAUUUUGUUUCUCUACUAGUUUUGGCUUCAUUUCACAUGUUUGUGCUGUCAAGAAGAAUAGGAAAUUUUCAAGAAUUAGCAGCUUUUGCUUGUGAGAAAAAGAUCUGGAAUAAUUUGUUCUGCUUGCAGUCUGCAAAUACUUAAUCUUAUGAGGUUUCAAUGCUUAUUUCAAGGCUUAUUUGAUGAUCUUUUUUGCUUUUUGUUUCAUCUAAUUUUCUUGUCCUAGACUCUUUUUUUUUUUUUCUUUUUGUAAAAGAAAAGAAAAAAGAAAGAGAAGAAAAAUUGUGUAAUGAUGACAUAUAUGAGUGAAGUGAACCAAAAGCUUAGUUCAUUAAUUCUCCUUAUUAGUUCAUGCAGUUCUCUGUGUGUGUGUGUGUACACAUUUGACAAAUUAAUCGUAAAUUAAGAUGGUCAUAGCACAAGCAGCUUUUUUCCUUUUAUUGGUGAUGACAUGAAAAGUUAAAUAUUUUUACAUCUGUUGAAAUAGUUUUUGUCAAAGUAUACAAACUUACUGUUGAAAUAGUUUUUGGAUAGAGUAUUAAUAUAGUCACAAAUUCUUGCAUAAAUUUAUUUUGUACAAAUUAAUGCGGCAUGAUAAAAUUGAUUGAAUUAAAUAUCUUUUGGCCUACAUAAUUUGUUUUUAUUAUUUUAUAUUUUCAUUCAACUAAUAAAUUAAUAUCAAAUCAAUUUGUAUAAAAUAAGUUUAUACAAAAAUUUGUAACUAUAUUAUCACUCUUUCUUUUGGAUAAGUACGUAAACUUACAUCAGCUCUAUAAAAAGAUCUUGGAUCGCAUAGCCAUGUGGCAAUAUAUAUAUUGUGAUGGUGUAACACUUGUAGUCAUUUUGCAUUGCCAGCAGGAAGUAGAUCUCUUUCAAAGUUAUGGCCAUUAUAAUUUUCUCAUAAUUGAAUUGAGCACUAUAAUCCUUCCAAAUCAACCAAUUAAAUCUUUGACUUUGGCUAUGGUUCCUUCAUGAAUAUGGAUGCUAUCCAAUUCUCAACCACCAAUCUCCAAUUCUCUUUUAUUAAAUAAAAUUGUAUAGUCCUAUAUUAUACACAUAGCUACCAUUUUUUAAGUGUGGGCGCCUUUAAUUUUUUUUUUUAAUAUAGAUAUAUUGUUAACUUAUACGACUUAAUAUAGUUAAUUUUUAAUAUACUAUAAAGUUAAACGGUUUAAUAGGCUUAAAAAAAUGAAGGCGCUUACACUAAAAUCAAAACAAUACCGACAACAUCAGUUGUUGGCGGUGUGUGGGGGUGUGUGAGUGAGACUGUGAAAGUGAGUGAGUGGGGCUGGAUAGCUACGGCUGGGGGCUGUGCAUUUGUGCCGUCGUUGUGGAAGUAGAUGAGAAGAGAGGAAUUACCGAAGAUUAAGAAUGGGCAAUCUGAAAUUUAUCUUAUGUUUAACUCGAUUAAAAAAAAUCAUAAAUAUUUUAACACACAAUGAUAACAUUUAGUUGAUUUUUUACGAAAUACAAAAAGCUCAAGUUUAUCAAACUCAAGCAAAUCAAAAUUUAAUGUGCCACAUCUACUCUCAAAUAUAUAAACCCCAAGAAAAAAAAAAAAUUCUCAAACUCCUCAACCAGACAAUAGUGGUUAGCAUGUCGUACCAAACGGAUAUGAUGUUACAAAGAUUUUUUAUAUCAAGGAGCUAGAUAAGCUGCAUGUGUUCCUGUUGAAGCCAACCCAAUUAAUAUGCAUAAUGUACAACGAAGCAGGACCCAUUCAAUUGAAAAUAUAACAAGUAAAGUUAGCUCAAUUUCUUAGCAUAUUGAAUGAAUGAUUGACUUCAAUUAGAAACAACAGACAAAAUCUUGCCAGGUAGGCCAGCCAGCCAGCCAGAUUAAUUAAUAAUUAUCAAUAAUGUGUGUUAAAUUUGCUGCGUACGUUUAUACAUCAGUCAUCAAUCUGUAACUUAUGAAAAUUAUCAAUCUUUCGUUGCCUCAAUCAAAAUAUGAAAAUUAUGUGCACAUUUUCUGCUAGCACUAUACUAUACAUAAAAAAAAAAAAAAACUUACUUGCCCGGGUUUUUUUAAUACAUAUUCUCUCUGAAUAAUACAGCUCCUUUCGCUUCAAGAAAAAUACAAAAUAAAAUAAAGUUGAUGUAUUACUUUUCGCUGGCAGCAUAUUAUGUGAUCUUUAAUGCAUCUAAAGUUCUGUAUUUUCUUUCUCCAUUAGCUAGUUUUGGCUUCAUUUUACAUGGGAAAUUUUCAAGAAUUAUUCGCAGGUUUUGCUUGUGAAGAAAAGGGCAGAAACAAUCAUUUGUUCUGUGCCAUGCACAGUAUCCUCAAUUUGAUGCAAUGUCAUAUGUGUGCCUAAAAAGAACAAUCACAGAAUCCUUAGUUGUAGAUUUCUAGUACUUAUUUAAAAUUCUUCGUACUUACAAGUUAAAUUAAUUAACGUCUCAAAUGCCUUGAGAUAGCUACAGCUAAUAAUUAAAUAAAUAUGAAGGCUACUUAAAGCUAAGUUUGGAUUGCAGAAGAAAUAAAAUGCAUAUUAGAUAUUAAGAGCAUCUCCAAAAGACUUUUUAGAUUUUACCCUUUAAAUAUCAAUUUGUUUACUGAUGUGGCAAAUAAGUGGAUGGAAACAUACAAUCUCCUUCAAAAGACUCAUCAAAUAAGAAAAAGUUAAUAUUAUUUUAAUCAAAUCUUUC